CGGCGAGUGAAGCGGCAACAGCUCAAAUUUGAAAUCUGGCCUCGGCCCGAGUUGUAAUUUGCAGAGGAUGCUUCUGGCGCGGUGCCUUCCGAGUUCCCUGGAACGGGACGCCACAGAGGGUGAGAGCCCCGUAUGGUCGGACACCAAGCCUGUGUGAAGCUCCUUCGACGAGUCGAGUAGUUUGGGAAUGCUGCUCUAAAUGGGAGGUAAAUCUCUUCUAAAGCUAAAUACCGGCCAGAGACCGAUAGCGCACAAGUAGAGUGAUCGAAAGAUGAAAAGCACCUUGAAAAGGGGGUUAAAUAGUACGUGAAAUUGUUGAAAGGGAAGCACUUAUGACCAGACUUGGGCCGGGCGGCUCAUCAGGGGUUCUCCCCUGUGCACUCCGCCCGGCACAGGCCAGCAUCGGUUUUCGCGGGGGGAUAAGACCGACGGGAACGUAGCACCCUCCGGGGUGUGUUAUAGCCCGGCGGACGAUACCCUCGCGGGGACCGAGGACCGCGCUUCGGCAAGGAUGCUGGCGUAAUGGUCAUCAGUGACCCGUCUUGAAACACC
rnacentral:rRNA from 1 species